rnacentral:sRNA from 1 species
UAUUCUGCCCUACAGGGAAGGAUGAGAAGCUUCGAUUAAGGUUCGACUCGAGCGAAGCGAGAGAACGUUGCCGCAGGCAACGGCCCGAAGGGCGAGGCG